rnacentral:rRNA from 1 species
GACGAACCGUGCGAACGUUGUUCGGAAUCACUGGGCUUAAAGGGCGCGUAGGCGGGCUACCACGUCUGUGGUGAAAUCCCCCGGCUCAACCGGGGAACGGCCGUGGAUACUGGGAGCCUCGAGGGAGAUAGGGGCAGGCGGAACUGAUGGUGGAGCGGUGAAAUGCGUUGAUAUCCACAGGAACUCCGGUGGCGAAGGCGGCACGCUGGACCCCCACUGACGCUGAGGCGCGAAAGCCAGGGGAGCGAACGGG